CGGACGGGUGAGUAAUGUCUGGGAAACUGCCCGAUGGAGGGGGAUAACUACUGGAAACGGUAGCUAAUACCGCAUAACGUCGCAAGACCAAAGAGGGGGACCUUCGAGCCUCUUGCCAUCGGAUGUGCCCAGAUGGGAUUAGCUAGUAGGUGGGGUAACGGCUCACCUAGGCGACGAUCCCUAGCUGGUCUGAGAGGAUGACCAGCCACACUGGAACUGAGACACGGUCCAG
rnacentral:rRNA from 1 species